CCUACGGGAGGCUGCAGUGAGGAAUAUUGGUCAAUGGACGAGAGUCUGAACCAGCCAAGUAGCGUGAAGGAUGACUGCCCUAUGGGUUGUAAACUUCUUUUAUAUGGGAAUAAAAUGUUCCACGUGUGGGCUUUUGUAUGUACCAUAUGAAUAAGGAUCGGCUAACUCCGUGCCAGCAGCCGCGGUAAUACGGUGGAUCCGAGCGUUAUCCGGAUUUAUUGGGUUUAAAGGGAGCGUAGUUGGCGUGUUAAGUCAGUUGUGAAAGUUUGCGGCUCAACCGUAAAAUUGCAGUUGAAACUGGCAGUCUUGAGUACAGUAGAGGUGGGCGGAAUUCGUGGUGUAGCGGUGAAAUGCUUAGAUAUCACGAAGAACUCCGAUUGCGAAGGCAGCUCACUGGACUGCAACUGACACUGAGGCUCGAAAGUGUGGGUAUCAAACAGGAUUAGAUACCCUAGGAGUC
rnacentral:rRNA from 1 species